GAGUCCCUUGAACGACCAGGGUACUCCUGCAAUUCGUAUUGAGUGCAGCUAUUGUGCAAUGUGUCCUUUUCACCCACUCUCCCAUGGAAUUUUGGCUAAAGUUAUAAGCUGGGAUAUCCAGCACUAAUUUUUAUAUCAUAUUUGGUAGAAGGUAUAAAUUUAUCCUGGAAUAAAUUUAUACCUUGUAACAAAUAUGGUACAAAAAUUAGUGUAGGAAUAUCCCAGCUUAUACCUUCUUAUCUCACUUAUACUGAAAUUAUUAACGACCCCUUAGAUUAUUAUUAUGUCGCCGUCGCCGUAGGGCUUUAUCUUGGAGUUUGCUGAUUUUGGAUUCAUUGCAUGUCAGCAUUGUUGAUUCAAUUGCACAGACGGAAGAAGGCAGCAACAUAGAAAAAAGGAGCUAUGUAUUGUGUACUUUCGGAGAAUUCUUGGCCUUUUAGAUGCAGGUCAGAGCAUCAAAAGCGGUUGGAAAUUGGGAAAGUUGCUAUUCCUCCUGAUUCAAUUUAUGUGAAGCUAUUUCCUUAUUAAUUCGUGUAAAAAAGAAUGACCUCUUUUUAUAUUUGAAAACAUUUUACCUUUAUGCAAUGAUUUAUAGUCACACAAAAUAUACGUCACUCAUUUUACACCACAAAUUUAAAAGUUUUCUCUACUUUUUUAAACUCCGUGCCCAGUCAAAUGGGUUCACAUAAAUUGAAACGGAGGGAGUAUUUUACCAGCAGGUUUCUAUAAGGAUGAAAAAGAAAACAAGCCUCACGUUCCUUGGCGUAUGUAUGUCUCAGGUGCAGGUCUUCCUCAGUUAUGACGGUUUUGCAACUAGAUUGGUCUUUAAAUUUGGUCUGCCUUUAUGCUUUUCCACCAUUUUACGGAUCUUAAUUUCUCAAUACAUGAUAUUAUCAGAUAUUUGUGAUUUAUUUAAUUAAUAUGGUCUGAAUUUUCUGAUAGCACAGAUUUUUUGCAUGUGAAAAUUGCUGGAGAUGGGGGAAAAAUUGAGACUGCUUCGACUGUACAAGGUCAAUUUCGGGCCACCAAACCCUGUAACUGAUGAGAAGGUCCUAUGGAGCGUGUACGUUGUCACACUCCCUGCCUGAUGACCGGGGAGCAGGUUCCCUAUGGGAAGGGGGGCGGACGACCAUCUCAAGGCACAUCACGACCUACAGUUUCAUUUCGUGACAAAGCUCCUGAAGAUAUUCGAUGUUGUACUCUCAAAUUAAGUUGGUCGUUCUAUCCUAUCACACCCCUGAUGAUGUGAAUUGCUACUCUGCAUGAGGACUCAAUGAAGAAUGGAACGUCUAGGGAAUGCUUUAUGAUCUCAAUGUGAAUGAGCUCCUGAACUGUAAAUUUCUGAAAUAUCUUAUGUAAUUGAGUUACUAAAUUAUUUGAUUACUAAACAAGCUCAUUGUUAUUCUCAAAGUUCACUUAAAUACCUUUGUCUGCACUUAUUGUUAGUCUUAAAUACAAAAUUAUGAAGUUAAAGGU